rnacentral:rRNA from 1 species
CCCUACGGGGUGCAGCAGGCGCGAAACCUCUACAAUGCACGAAAGUGUGAUAGGGGAACCCUGAGUGCUCAGCUAUGCUGGGCUUUUGCCAAGAUUAAAACCCUUGGCGAAUAAGUGGUGGGUAAGACAGGUGCCAGCCGCCGCGGUAACACCUGCGCCACAAGUGGCAAUCGUUAUUAUUGGGCCUAAAGCGUCCGUAGCAGGUCUUGUAAAUCUCCUGUGAAAUCGUUCAGCUCAACUGAACAACGUGCAAGAGACACUGCAAGACUUGGGACCGGGAGGAGUCAGAGGUAUUCCAUGGGGAGCGGUAAAAUGCUAUAAUCCAUGGAGGACCACCUAUGGCGAAGGCAUCUGACCAGAACGGAUCCGUCUGUGAGGGACGAAAGCCAGGGGAGCGAACCGGAUUAGAUACCCGAGUAGUCCUGGCUGUAAACGCUGCGAGCUAGGUGUUGCGCAAUCUUAGUGAUUGUGCAGUAUCGGAGCGAAGGUGUUAAGCUCGCCGCCUGGGAAGUACGGUCGCAAGGCUGAAACUUAAAGGAAUUGGCGGGGGAGCAC